UACGUAGGGCGCAAGCGCUGUCCGGAAUUAUUGGGCGUAAAGAGCUCGUAGGCGGUUUGUCGCGUCUGCUGGGAAAACCUAAGGCUCAACCUUGGGCUUGCAGUGGGUACGGGCAGACUAGAGUGCGGUAGGGGUGACUGGAAUUCCUGGUGUAGCGGUGGAAUGCGCAGAUAUCAGGAGGAACACCGAUGGCGAAGGCAGGUCACUGGGCCGCAACUGACGCUGAGGAGCGAAAGCAUGGGGAGCGAACAGG
rnacentral:rRNA from 1 species